AACACAUGCAAGUCGAGCGAGGAGAUCCUUCGGGAUGAUCCUAGCGGCGGACGGGUGAGUAACACGUGGGCAACCUGCCUCAUAGAGAGGAAUAGCCUUCCGAAAGGGAGAUUAAUACCUCAUAACAUUGCAGUUUCGCAUGGAACAGCAAUUAAAGGAGUAAUCCGCUAUGAGAUGGGCCCGCGGCGCAUUAGCUAGUUGGUGAGGUAACGGCUCACCAAGGCGACGAUGCGUAGCCGACCUGAGAGGGUGAUCGGCCACAUUGGGACUGAGACACGGCCCAGACUCCUACGGGAGGCAGCAGUGGGGAAUAUUGCACAAUGGGGGAAACCCUGAUGCCAGCAACGCCGCGUGAGUGAUGACGGCCUUCGGGUUGUAAAGCUCUGUCUUCAGGGACGAUAAUGACGGUACCUGAGGAGGAAGCCACGGCUAACUACGUGCCAGCCGCCGC
rnacentral:rRNA from 1 species